CGGAUUUGACGGCGACCGGCGCACGGGUGCGUAACGCGUAUGUAACCUACCUUUAACAGGGGGAUAACACUGAGAAAUUGGUACUAAUACCCCAUAACACUUUAGGAGGCAUCUCCUUUGGUUGAAAGUUCCGGCGGUUAAAGAUGGACAUGCGUUGUAUUAGCUAGAUGGUGAGGUAACGGCUCACCAUGGCGACGAUACAUAGGGGGACUGAGAGGUUAACCCCCCACACUGGUACUGAGACACGGACCAGACUCCUACGGGAGGCAGCAGUGAGGAAUAUUGGUCAAUGGACGCAAGUCUGAACCAGCCAUGCCGCGUGCAGGAUGACGGCUCUAUGAGUUGUAAACUGCUUUUGUACAAGGGUAAACCCUGGGACGUGUCCCAGGCUGAAAGUACUGUACGAAUAAGGAUCGGCUAACUCCGUGCCAGCAGCCGCGGUAAUACGGAGGAUCCAAGCGUUAUCCGGAUUUAUUGGGUUUAAAGGGUGCGUAGGCGGAUUAGUAAGUUAGAGGUGAAAGCUCGGGGCUCAACUCCGGAACUGCCUCUGAUAUUGCUGAUCUAGAGAGUAGAUGCGGUAGGCGGAAUGUAUGGUGUAGCGGUGAAAUGCUUAGAGAUCAUACAGAACACCGAUUGCGAAGGCAGCUUACCAAACUAUAUCUGACGUUGAGGCACGAAAGCGUGGGGAGCAAACAGGAUU
rnacentral:rRNA from 1 species